GACGAACGCUGGCGGCGUGCUUAACUCAUGCAAGUCGAACGGAAAGGCCCUGCUUUUGUGGGGUGCUCGAGUGGCGAACGGGUGAGUAACACGUGAGUAACCUGCCCUUGACUUUGGGAUAACUUCAGGAAACUGGGGCUAAUACCGGAUAGGAGCUCCUGCUGCAUGGUGGGGGUUGGAAAGUUUCCGCGGUUGGGGAUGGACUCGCGGCUUAUCAGCUUGUUGGUGGGGUAGUGGCUUACCAAGGCUUUGACGGGUAGCCGGCCUGAGAGGGUGACCGGCCACAUUGGGACUGAGAUACGGCCCAGACUCCUACGGGAGGCAGCAGUGGGGAAUAUUGCACAAUGGGCGGAAGCCUGAUGCAGCAACGCCGCGUGCGGGAUGACGGCCUUCGGGUUGUAAACCGCUUUCGCCUGUGACGAAGCGUGAGUGACGGUAAUGGGUAAAGAAGCACCGGCUAACUACGUG
rnacentral:rRNA from 1 species